GCACAGCCUUGGUGUGUGUGAUGGUGGGUAUUGCCUGCAGACCACCCCUGUCAAACCUGACAUGUGGCCAUAGGAAUAUCUUUGUAAUUCCUUGCAGGCUGUGGCCUCAGAAGUAAGGAGUACGUUGAAUUUGCUCACGUGGGUGUCCCUGAGGAAGGUCAGAUGCCACAUGAGGAGCUGCAAGAACAACAGCUCUCUGAAGGCUGAUUGCCACCAAAGACAGCACAGGAGAGCUGAAAAAUCGUCUAUCAGUCAGAUGCAGUUGGAUUCUUCCUUGUCCAUAUCUUCCUCAGCUGUACCCUCUGGACUUAAAUCUGCUCGGAUGUGCCCCUACAGAACAUUUCAAACCGAUAGGACCUGCAGUAACAGGAUAGAAAAUGGUCCCCAGCACCUCACCCUACUCCUCUGCACCCUCUGCUCAGGCUCUGCCAUUUUUGCAGCCAUGCAUCAUAUCUGUCUGUGGCUCACAGCAUCAUCUCCCCCUGUUGUCCAUCGACAUGAAAUGCAGUGUUCUGAAACAUGA
rnacentral:lncRNA from 1 species